rnacentral:rRNA from 1 species
GUGACGAAGUGACGCCGCGUGGGUGAGGAAGGCCCUCGGGUUGUAAAACCCUGUCAGGAGUUAAGAAACAUAAGUGCGCUAAUAUCGCAUUUAUUUGACGAAGGCUCCAAAGGAAGCCACGGCUAACUCUGUGCCAGCAGCCGCGGUAAUACAGAGGUGGCAAGCGUUGUCCGGAAUUAUUGGGCGUAAAGAGCACGUAGGUGGGUUUGUAAGUCAGAUGUGAAAGCCUUCUGUCCAACGGAAGAAUUGCAUCUGAAACUGCAAGUCUUGAGUGUAGGAGGGGAGAAUGGAACUCCUGGUGGAGCGGUGAAAUGCGUAGAUAUCAGAAGGAACGCCGGCGGCGAAAGCGAUUCUCUGGCCUAUUACUGACACUCAGUGUGCGAAAGCUAGGGGAGCAAACGGGAUUAGAUACCCCGGUAGUCCUAGCCGUAAACGAUGGGCACUAAGUAGAGGGGUUUU